GGCUCGGUAGCUCAGUCGGUAGAGCAGAGGACUGAAAAUCCUCGUGUCGGCGGUCGUCCCGAGCCACCA
rnacentral:tRNA from 1 species